UUUUAAUGGAGAGUUUGAUCCUGGCUCAGGACGAACGCUGGCGGCGUGCCUAAUACAUGCAAGUCGAGCGCGGGAAGCGGACGGA
rnacentral:rRNA from 1 species